UUUCAAAAAUAAAAAUUUACAAGUUGAAAGAAAGAAAGGUAACAUUUUAAAAUUUUAGUUUUAAUAACAGAAUCGCUAAUAUGAUUCAUAUUAAUUUAGAAUUUUUUGUUCGCUAGAAUAACUAAUUCUGUAAUAUUCGAAAGAGCCCAAAAACGAUUGCACGUAAUUUACGCAAAAAUAUGAAAAAGGAAAGUGACUGAUACAAUCGGUACUGAUACACGUGCAUUUUAUUCUUAGCAAAACUCCGCGUAAGUGGUAUAGCCGACUAUCUGAUCGAACAUGCGUCGCGCAGCUAUAUAGGUUUGCACAUAAUCCUGAUUCAAGCCGGUCUUUGCUCGCUAGUGCACGUUGGAGACACUCAAGUGGCGGAUUUAAACGCGACUAUCGCUGAAACUCACCUGUUUCUUACUCACCAUCUGCAUCUUCUGAUGGCAUUCGUGACAACGAGAACCCCGAAAAGCAAGAUCUUAUGAUUUCUGCAAAAUGAACGGUUCAUUAAACAUCAAUAACAACACGACGUUGAAGACGAAUCGAAUACUUUGCACAAAUUCUAAGCCAAAUAGCGCGACUUUCCAAAAGAUUUUGUCGUUCUUGAGGAAGGAUAAGGUGCAGAUGAUUGAAACCCAAUUUUCGGAACCUCCAAUGAGGGCACGUCCAUUUCUUCAAAGUGGUUUUCUUAGCGGGCAAAUUCUGUCCCCAAACAAUAAUGAUCCAGAAAGUUUCCACUGUGCGAUAAGGCCUGUUUUGUCAUUGGCUCAAAUGUUCGGAAUUCUACCAGUUUUAGGAAUUCGCAGGCCGAGUCCUUUGCAGUUAAAGUUCGUGAAAUUUUCGUUUUGUACUAUCUACGCCGUUUUCAUAAGCACGAUGGUGCUAGUUAUGGCAAUAUUGUCGAUUCUGCAUAUGAUAAAAACACUGAACUCCGUAACUUUUGAAGUAAAAGGAGGAAUUGCGGCUGCUACGGCAGGCGCCGUAUUUUACACGAACUGUGUGAUAGGCCAGUUAAUAUUUUUCCGCCUGUCGCCGCGUUGGGUAACCCUGCAACGCGAUUGGAGAUCUAUGGAGCAGUUUAUAGACAGUAAUAAGAUAGAACGACCGAAGCUUCGUUGGAAAUUCAACACGAUCAGCUCUUCCAUUUUGUUUCUGGCCCUUAUCGAGCAUAUCUUCAGUAUAAUACAGAAUACCUUGGAGUACGACUGGAGUGGCAAAUCGGAAAAUUCGACAUUCCAAAAUUUUUUACAAGUAUAUUGUACAUCUUCUCACUCGUUUAUCUUGCAAUCAUUGAAGUAUAACUUUGUGCUCGGCAUUUUUAUUUUUAUCGUCAGCAAACUGGCAACUUUCACAUGGAAUUUCACUGACGUUUUUAUCAUGACGGUAUCUACCGGCUUGGCCGAGAGAUACAGAAUAUUGAACAAACACGUGAUGAGUUCUAUAUCGAAGCAUCAGAGAAUCGACUGGUGUGGAUUGCGCGAAGAUUACGCUGCUCUUAGCUGCAUGGUGAAGAAGGUGGACAAGAAUAUCGCCCCGAUAAUUCUUCUGUCAUUUGCAAACAAUCUGUAUUUCAUCUGUUUACAGCUACUCAAUGGAUUGUCAAAACCGGAAAACGGCAUACUCAGCGAUAUUUACUUCUUUGGAUCUUUCGUGUUCCUGAUUGGCAGAACAGUAAUCGUUACCCUGCUCACUUCCAGAAUCCACGAUCAAAGCAAAGUAAUUUUGCCGCUGUUAUAUAGUUGUUCAACAUCCACCUACAAUACAGAGUCGGUUUACAGACAGAAAGGCUGAUAUAUCUACUCACCACUGAUGAUGUCGUACUUACGGGAAUGCGUUUCUUUUCUAUUACACGGAACUUUAUGUUGGCGGUGGCUGGUGCAAUUGUAACGUACGAAGUUGUGCUGCUGCAAUUUAAUGUUGCGAUAAAAGGUAAAUAAUAAUAAAUACGCAACAUUAUUGAAAGGCAAAAUGUUAUAAAUUAAAAUAUAACGUAAGUAUUUGUAAUUAUUUGUAUUUAUGAAAUUAAAAAGAAAACAUUCUGUACAUUCCUACUUCGUCAAUUUUACUAAAUGCUAAUAUAUCUGUGAUUAUGCACUACUUUUUAAAGAAUAUAUUUUGUAAGGACAAUAAUGCAAGGAAAGUUUCUUGUAACAAAAAUAUAAUUAUUUCGCCACAAGUUUGUUUCAGUUACAUAUUAAUUCAAUAUAAUUUUCCAAUACAUAUUCGCAAUACGAUGACACAUAUUCGCUUUUUAAUAAACUUUUCUGUUUAUAUGAAAGUUCGUCAAUUUUACAUUUUUAUUCAGGUAAGUUGAGAACUUAGGUUUUAAUUAAAUCUUUCAUACAUAAUCUCUGACGCUACUUCUAAGUAAAUAUAAUUUUUUUUUAAAUAAUAUAUUUUGUACAAGAUUCUUAAAGCUCCUGAGUACUCGCCGCGACCAUAUUGAAGUCGUGACGUCAGAAGCGAGAAAUUGCGUGAAAUGACACAUAAUU